rnacentral:rRNA from 1 species
UACGAAGGGGGCUAGCGUUGCUCGGAAUCACUGGGCGUAAAGGGUGCGUAGGCGGGUCUUUUAAGUCAGGGGUGAAAUCCUGGAGCUCAACUCCAGAACUGCCUUUGAUACUGAGAUCUUGAGUUCGGGAGAGGUGAGUGGAACUGCGAGUGUAGAGGUGAAAUUCGUAGAUAUUCGCAAGAACACCAGUGGCGAAGGCGGCUCACUGGCCCGGAUACUGACGCUGAGGCACGAAAGCGUGGGGAGCAAACAGG